GCAGAAUGGAAUGCAACCGCUUGAAAUAUAGAGGAAAGUCUGGGCUACUGUGGGACAGGGUUCUAUCUAACAGAUAGCCGUCGUGAGACGAGGGAAAGUGUAACAGAGAGUAGACCGCCUAUACUAUAUAGGUAAGGGUGAAACGGUGGGGUAAGAGCCCACCAGUUUUCUAAGCAAUUAGAAGAGCUAUAUAAACCCAACUCGUAGCAAGGAAACCUUGGUAUAAGUCCCACACUUAAAAGGUUUCCGCUUGAACUCUAUUGCAAAAUAGAAGUCUAGAUAAAUGGUUGCAGAAAAAACAGAACCCAGCUUAUUCCACUCUGCUAUU
rnacentral:RNase_P_RNA from 1 species